CCCAGCAGUGAUUAUUAUGGGAUCCCGGUCUGAUAAAGAAGAAUUGUCAAUUGCUGAGAACUUUAAAACCAAUGACAACAAAGACAGGGCAUCCAACCUGAGACAAAUCAAUUUUUUGGGAGAGUCUAGUAUCCAAGAUUAUUUUAAAGACGACAAUUCAGUAACAGAUGAAUCAUAUUUUGCAACUAUGAAAAGUGUAUCUCCAGAGGACCCC